AACGAACGCUGGCGGCAUGCUUAACACAUGCAAGUCGAACGAGACCUUCGGGCCUAGUGGCGAACGGGUGCGUAACGCGUGGGAACCUGCCCUUAGGUUCGGAAUAACUCCCCGAAAGGGGUGCUAAUACCGGAUAAUGUCUUCGGACCAAAGAUUUAUUGCCUUUGGAUGGGCCCGCGUUGGUUUAGCUAGUUGGUAGGGUAAAAGCCUACCAAGGCGACGAUCCAUAGCUGGUCUGAGAGGAUGAUCAGCCACACUGGGACUGAGACACGGCCCAGACUCCUAGGGGAGGCAGCAGUGGGGAAUAUUGGACAAUGGGCGAAAGCCUGAUCCAGCAAGGCCGCGUGAGUGAUGAAGGCCUUAGGGUUGUAAAGCUCUUUUACCCGGGAUGAUAAUGACAGUACCGGGAGAAUAAGCUCCGGCUAACUCCGUG
rnacentral:rRNA from 1 species